rnacentral:rRNA from 1 species
GGCUACGGCUGGCGGCGUGUCUUAGCCAUGCAAGUCGAGCGGACUUAUGGGGUAACUUAUAAGUCAGCGGCGGACGGCGGAGUAACACGUAGCUAACCUACCCUCUGGACGGGGAUAACCUACCGAAAGGUGGGCUAAUACCCGAUGUAGUCAUCCUGUAUAGGGGUGAUGAAAGGUGGGCUUCUGUUUACAAGCUCAUGCUGGAGGAGGGGGCUGCGGCCUAUCAGGUAGUUGGUAGGGUAAUAGCCUACCAAGCCGAUGACAGGUAGCCGGCCUGAGAGGGUGACCGGCCCGAGGGGCACUGAGAUACGGGUCCCACUCCUACGGGAGGCAGCAGGCUAGAAAUUUGGGCAAUGGGGGAAACCCUGACCCAGUGACGCCGCGUGCAGGAAGGAGCCCUUCGGGGUGUAAACUGCUGUCGUGUAGGGAGAAGGGUACUAAGGUGAACAAUCUUAGUACUUGACGGUACUACAGGAGGAAGCCCAGGCUAACCUCGUG